CAACAGCCACAGUAGCCAGCAUGAGCCAGCCUCUCCCUGAAGCGGCAUGUGACAUCUGUGUAGCCAGCGUGCGGUUUUGCACUUAGAAGGGUAGAAAGGUUCCACAGUGCCAUGCAUACUAACAGUCCGAUUCUAAGCACCUCUGUGGUCUACUCAGAUGCCAAGGCGCUGCGUGAGACAGUUCCGUAUUACAGAAAUACACAAGACUGAAAAAUGAUGUUUUAGAAAUUGAAAUCUACUUUCUUGAGGAAAUGCAUGCACAACAAAGACUGGCAUUCAGGAUGUGAUGUGCUGUCAGAUACUGUAGGGGAGGAGAGCAUUAAUAAAGAUCUACAGGACCUUAUGAAAGAACAGCUAAAGAAAGCACCAAGUUAAAUACAACCUUCAGUAUUUGCUUAACAUAGCACUGCAGCUUUGUGAAAAAGUUGAGCUUAAUUAAAUGUUUCCCCCUCUUUCAGAAAAAGCUAUAGCCAGCUCCAAAGCUCUAAAUCGCUGUCUAGAGCGGUGCACUUAUAUGUCAAAAAGCUCAAUUCAUAAAGCUUGGCAUGUCA